rnacentral:rRNA from 1 species
AGAUAGUAAGGUGGCGGACGGGUGAGUAACACGUAAAGACUUGCCCUGCAGUCUGGGACAACUAUUGGAAACGAUAGCUAAUACCGGAUAUUGCCGCAUGGCGAAAGCUAUAUGCGCUGUAGGAGAGCUUUGCGUCCCAUUAGUUAGUUGGUGAGGUAACGGCUCACCAAGACCGCGAUGGGUAGCCGGCCUGAGAGGGUGAACGGCCACAAGGGGACUGAGACACGGCCCUUACUCCUACGGGAGGCAGCAGUGGGGAAUAUUGGACAAUGGACCAAAGUCUGAUCCAGCAAUUCUGUGUGCACGAUGACGGUCUUAGGAUUGUAAAGUGCUUUCAAUCGGGAAAAAGAAAGUGAUGGUACCGAUAGAAGAAGCGACGGCUAAAUACGUGCCAGCAGCCGCGGUAAUACGUAUGUCGCAAGCGUUAUCCG